rnacentral:rRNA from 1 species
GAUGAACGCUGGCGGCGUGCCUAAUACAUGCCAGUCGAGCGAACAGACGAGGAGCUUGCUCCUCUGACGUUAGCGGCGGACGGGUGAGUAACACGUGGAUAACCUACCUAUAAGACUGGGAUAACUUUGUGAAACCGGAGCUAAUACCGGAUAAUAUAUUGAACCGCAUGGUUCAAUAGUGAAAGACGGUUUUGCUGUCACUUAUAGAUGGAUCCGCGCCGCAUUAGCUAGUUGGUAAGGUAACGGCUUACCAAGGCGACGAUGCGUAGCCGACCUGAGAGGGUGAUCGGCCACACUGGAACUGAGACACGGUCCAGACUCCUACGGGAGGCAGCAGUAGGGAAUCUUCCGCAAUGGGCGAAAGCCUGACGGAGCAACGCCGCGUGAGUGAUGAAGGUCUUCGGAUCGUAAAACUCUGUUAUUAGGGAAGAACAAAUGUGUAAGUAACUAUGCACGUCUUGACGGUACCUAAUCAGAAAGCCACGGCUAACUACGUG